CCUACGGGAGGCAGCAGUGAGGAAUAUUGGUCAAUGGACGAGAGUCUGAACCAGCCAAGUAGCGUGAAGGAUGACUGCCCUAUGGGUUGUAAACUUCUUUUAUAAAGGAAUAAAACGAGGCACGUGUGCCUUUUUGCAUGUACUUUAUGAAUAAGGAUCGGCUAACUCCGUGCCAGCAGCCGCGGUAAUACGGAGGAUCCGAGCGUUAUCCGGAUUUAUUGGGUUUAAGGGAGCGUAGAUGGGUUGUUAAGUCAGUUGUGAAAGUUUGCGGCUCAACCGUAAAAUUGCAAUUGAUACUGGCAGUCGUGAGUACAGUUGAGGUAAGCGGAAUUCGUGGUGUAGCGGUGAAAUGCUUAGAUAUCACGAAGAACCCCGAUUGCGAAGGCAGCUUACUAAACUGUGACUGACAUUGAUGCUCGAAAGUGUGGGUAUCAAACAGGAUUAGAUACCCGAGUAGUC
rnacentral:rRNA from 1 species